rnacentral:rRNA from 1 species
UACGGAGGGUGCAAGCGUUAUCCGGAUUCACUGGGGUUAAAGGGUGCGUAGGUGGGUUGGUAAGUCAGUGGUGAAAUCUCCGAGCUUAACUUGGAAACUGCCAUUGAUACUAUCAGUCUUGAAUAUUGUGGAGGUCAGCGGAAUAUGUCAUGUAGCGGUGAAAUGCUUAGAUAUGACAUAGAACACCAAUUGCGAAGGCAGCUGGCUACACAUAUAUUAACACUGAGGCACGAAAGCGUGGGGAUCAAACAGG